UACGUAGGUGGCAAGCGUUGUCCGGAUUUACUGGGCGUAAAGAGCGCGCAGGCGGUCGUUCAAGUCGAGUGUGAAAGCCCCCGGCUCAACUGGGGAGGGUCACUCGAUACUGAUCGACUCGAAGGCAGGAGAGAGAAGUGGAAUUCCCGGUGUAGUGGUGAAAUGCGUAGAUAUCAGGAGGAACACCCAUUGCGAAGGCAGCUCGCUGGGACGUUACUGACGCUGAGACGCGAAAGCGUGGGGAGCAAACAGG
rnacentral:rRNA from 1 species